GGACUACCGGGGUAUCUAAUCCUGUUUGCUCCCCACGCUCUCGCGCCUCAGCGUCAGUGUCAGUCCAGAUAGCCGCCUUCGCCACUGGUGUUCCUUCCGAUAUCUACGCAUUUCACCGCUACACCGGAAAUUCCACUAUCCUCUACUGCACUCCAGUCACCCAGUCUUAGAUGCAGUUCCUAGGUUAAGCCCAGGGAUUUCACAUCUAACUUAAGUAUCCGCCUACGCGCCCUUUACGCCCAGUAAUUCCGAUUAACGCUCGCACCCUCUGUAUUACCGCGGCUGCUGGCAC
rnacentral:rRNA from 1 species